UCUUUUAAAGUAAAUUACAUUUAAUUUCGACUUAAACUUUGAUUAUUUUUAAUCUAAAAGAC
rnacentral:tRNA from 1 species